rnacentral:rRNA from 1 species
GCACUCUUGAGACUUAGCGGCGGACGGGUGAGUAACACGUAGGCAACCUGCCCUUCAGACUGGGAUAACUACCGGAAACGGUAGCUAAUACCGGAUAAUCGUUUUUCUCUCCUGGGAGAAGCGGGAAAGACGGAGCAAUCUGUCACUGAAGGAUGGGCCUGCGGCGCAUUAGCUAGUUGGUGGGGUAACGGCUCACCAAGGCGACGAUGCGUAGCCGACCUGAGAGGGUGAUCGGCCACACUGGGACUGAGACACGGCCCAGACUCCUACGGGAGGCAGCAGUAGGGAAUCUUCCGCAAUGGACGAAAGUCUGACGGAGCAACGCCGCGUGAGUGAUGAAGGUUUUCGGAUCGUAAAGCUCUGUUGCCAGGGAAGAACGUCUUCUAGAGUAACUGCUAGGAGAGUGACGGUACCUGAGAAGAAAGCCCCGGCUAACUACGUGCCAGCAGCCGCGGUAAUACGUAGGGGGCAAGCGUUGUCCGGAAUUAUUGGGCGUAAAGCGCGCGCAGGCGGUCAUUUAAGUCUGGUGUUUAAUCCCGAAGCUCAACUUCGGGUCGCAUCGGAAACUGGGUGACUUGAGUGCAGAAGAGGAGAGUGGAAUUCCACGUGUAGCGGUGAAAUGCGUAAAGAUGUGGAGGAACACCAGUGGCGAAGGCGACUCUCUGGGCUGUAACUGACGCUGAGGCGCGAAAGC